rnacentral:misc_RNA from 1 species
GAAAUGCGAUAAGUAAUGUGAAUUGCAGAAUUCAGUGAAUCAUCGAAUCUUUGAACGCACAUUGCGCCCCUUGGCAUUCCGAGGGGCAUGCCUGUUCGAGCGUCAUUACACCAAUCACGCCUGGCGUGGUAUUGGGCGACGGGGGAAGCGUGUCCUCGCGACGCGGCCCCGCGCCCCAAUGACUCCGGCGAGACGGACCGAAUCUCAGCGUUGUGACCAAAAGCCGCUGGGGACACGGGACGCCUGGGCCGUUAAACACCCCCUUUCUUAUCAAGGUUGACCUCGGAUCAGGUAGGGAUACCCGCUGAACUUAAGC